UUGUUGUUUUGGUUGUUGUAAAAAAAGAUGACUCUAAGGGUUUCUUCCAACCUUGAGAUUCUAAGAUUUGCUAAUAAGUAGCUGUAAUUUUCCAGCUACUGAAAUAAUUCAUUUCCAAACUACCAGCUCAGGAGAGAGGUGAGAGAGGAAGAGGCAGAUGGUAAGUGUGAAGGAAUAUGUUUAUUUCCAGAAUCAAUAUGCUUUAUCUGUGCAUACCAUUCUGCAAUGGAAAUGGAUAAAGAAGAAGAGAUAAUUUCUGUAGUAAGUUGUACUUCAGAAUGAAAAAUGGAUUGGAUGUGCAUGUUUGGCUAGGGAAGGCCUAUUCCUCACACAGUGGUGCAGGCAAGACAAGUCAGUAAAGUGG
rnacentral:lncRNA from 1 species